rnacentral:tRNA from 1 species
AUUUAUAUAGUUUAAAUAAAACAUUAUAUUUUCAUUAUAAAAAAAAGAAUUUUCUUUAUAAAUA